GGAUCCCAUCAGAACUCCGUAGUUAAGCGUGCUUGGGCGAGAGUAGUACUAGGGUGGGUGACCUCCUGGGAAGUCCUCGUGUUGCAUC
rnacentral:rRNA from 1 species